AACGAACGCUGGCGGCAUGCCUAACACAUGCAAGUCGAACGAGACCUUCGGGUCUAGUGGCGCACGGGGGCGUAACGCGUGGGAACCUGCCCUUAGGUUCGGAAUAACUCCCCGAAAGGGGUGCUAAUACCGGAUAAUGUCUUCGGACCAAAGAUUUAUCGCCUUUGGAUGGGCCCGCGUUGGAUUAGCUAGUUGGUAGGGUAAAAGCCUACCAAGGCGACGAGCCAUAGCUGGUCUGAGAGGAUGAUCAGCCACACUGGGACUGAGACACGGCCCAGACUCCUACGGGAUGCAGCAGUGGGUAAUAUUGGACAAUGGGCGAAAGCCUGAUCCAGCAAUGCCGCGUGAGUGAUGAAGGCCUUAGGGUUGUAAAGCUCUUUUACCCGGGAUGAUAAUGACAUUACCGGGAGAAUAAGCUCCGGCUAACUCCGUG
rnacentral:rRNA from 1 species